UACGAAGGGUGCAAACGUUGUUCGGAUUCACUGGGCGUAAAGGGUGCGUAGGUGGCGGGGUAAGUCGGAUGUGAAAUCUCCGAGCUCAACUCGGAAAUGGCAUUGGAAACUACCUUGCUCGAGGGUUGGAGGGGGGACUGGAAUACUUGGUGUAGCAGUGAAAUGCGUAGAUAUCAAGUGGAACACCAGUGGCGAAGGCGAGUCCCUGGACAACUCCUGACACUGAGGCACGAAAGCUAGGGGAGCAAACAGG
rnacentral:rRNA from 1 species